GGCAAGGUGGCGGAGUGGUUAACGCGUCAGCCUCGAAUAGAAAAUCGUUUGAUUCUCUAGCAAGCUGAUUCCUUCGGGAGCGCAGGUUCGAAUCCUGCCCUUGUCG
rnacentral:tRNA from 1 species